rnacentral:rRNA from 1 species
GACGAACGCUGGCGGCGUGCCUAAUACAUGCAAGUAGGACGCAGUUGCGAACGGGUGAGUAAUGCGUAGGCAACUACCUCUUAGAAGGGGAUAAAUAUUGGAAACGAUAGCUAAUACAGCAUACAAGUAGAUGGACCUGCGUUGUAUUAGCUAGUAGGUAGGGUAAUGGCCUACCUAGGGAACGAUACAUAGCCGACCUGAGAGGGUGAACGGCCACACUGGGACUGAGAAACGGCCCAGACUCCCACGGGAGGCAGCAGUAGGGAAUCUUCGGCAAUGGGGGGAAACCUGACCGAGCAACGCCGCGUGAGUGAAGAAGGUUUUCGGAUCGUAAAGCUCUGUUGUUAAGGAAGCGGUACUUAACCAGAAAGGGACGGCUAACUACGUGCCAGCAGCCGCGGUAAUAC